rnacentral:lncRNA from 1 species
CAUUGUUCCAUGAAAAAUAAAAUUAACUAAAAAAUUGAUAUGUCACUCAAAUACUUUGUCAUAUAUUCUAAAAUUAAUCAAACAAAGUGAUGCAAUACACAAGUUUAUUUGAUUUAAUUCUGCUAAUGCAUAUACAUUCGUAUUUCAUUACUAUUAAUGUAUAUAUAUAUAUGUGUGUGUGUAAUAUAUAUAUUUAUAUUUCAUUUUGUGUACAUAUGAUACGUUUUAAAUUAAUUGUAUUCUCUACAAAAGAAAAAAUUUAGUUUUCAAUUUUCCAUUUCUAUUUUACAAAUACAUGUGAAAAAAUAGAAAAUUAAGUCAAAAAAAGUUAAGGAUAUAUAAUUACACGUAUUAUAAUCAAUAUCUAGAAAGCUGCCGCGAUUUAAAAUUAAAAUAAACCUUAAUAAAACGACAAAAUUAACAAUCAAAAUAAUAUAGGACAAAGUAAUCAAAUAAUUCUAUUAAAUCUCUCUGUUGCUCCCUUUGUGUAUAUUUGUACGAAUCACGUUAUAAAAUUCGCUUCCCUCGAGCGAGUCAUAACUUUACAUCAUUACAUUUGCAAGACAACCAUUUUCCAGAAACGAUUAUCUUUGCUUGGGGAAACGUGCUCGUUAGGUCGGUGUGCUGCACCUAAAGGUCGCGAUUAUCCCGGUGGUCGUAAAUGAAUAAUACAGAAGUAAUUUUUUUCCGCACCUCCAGCGAGCUGGAAACGGCCACGCAGGAUCCUGCCGACCUCCCUCUAUUUCUGAAAAUGGCAGUUAUCUCAGCGGCCAAUCAUCGGGUUCCUAUAUCUGUGUAUAUAUGCGUGUGUUGUGUGUGUGUGUGUGUGUGUGUGUGUGUGUAUACAUAUAUAUACAUAUAUGUUAUGCGUUAAUACGUGUGAUAGAGAGGGUUAUACUUAUUAAUUAACCGUUCGGUUUGGCGGCCGAAUUUAGAGCACAACGCAUGGAUAAUGCAACCGUAGCCAACUACAUUUGCAUAUUUGAAUGUUGUAUACACCAUGAUGCGGUGAUUACGGACCGAAUCGUGUUGGCUACUGAUGAUGCGAGGUGCAACAUUUUCUUCGAUUAUAUAUUUAUAUACCCACGGGAAAGCAUGAAAUGGAAUAUGGAGAUACAGAUUCGCCCAAUACGCUAUUGAUGUACAUAUCAGAUGUAUCAAAUUAUUCCAGAAAUAUGCAAUGUUCUUUAAUUGAUAGAUAAAAAUAGAAAAAAACCUAUUAAAUUGAUUUUACUCAAUUGUAUAUUUGCUCUCAUUUUAUAUACAAUUAACCGCUUUUUUUUAUCUUCCAACUAAAUUUGGUAUUUCUCCGCUUCUUUCGUUGAAACGUAGACAUAAGUUUUGUUCUCUCUAUUAUUUCAGAGCAUCUAAAUUUUUCGUAUUAGUUAUAGAACAGCUUGGACAACAUUCUGCGGAAAUUUGAGAUUUUAUUUAUUUUUCUCGCGUAUCACACAUGAGUGUAUUUUCCCUUUUUUAAAAUCAUUUUUUACUAUUUUUCUUUUGCCCUCCCCUCUUUCGGGAAUUUCGAGCGUCUAUUCUAUUCAUCCAUCCACAUUUGGAUGGGAAAAGACCUGGAUUUCUCGCGGAAACUUGAAGCGCGCGUGACUCGUCGGCGACGUGUCGUAGCACCCACCGUCGGAUGCGUCGCCAGCAUCCGACGCUAUUAGCUAGAUGCUUCCUAAGAUACCAGGAAAGGAGCGGCAAGCAGGAAGGAGUGGAGCAAGGGGAAUACGAGAGGCGGGAGGAGGGUUAAAAUGGAGUUACAUACUAAUUUCCGUUCCAGCGCGAACGAGUUUGUAUGCUUUAUGACGGUACCGCGCGGUGAUAGAUAGUAAAUGUCAACGCUGCGAGAGAGCGAGCAAGCGAGCGGAGCAGGCGACUCCUGCUGCGUACCCGCCACCCUAACCUAACCCCCGUGUGCGCGUCGUGCAUCAAGUCGUGCUGCCGGGAGCCAGACAUUACGCCGACGUUCGCUCUCUUUCUCUCUCUCUCUCUCUCUCUCCUCUCUGUCUCUCCUUGCACGCUUGCGACCACCGUGUUUAUAAUUUAUGAGUAUUUCUUUUCAUAAAUCUUCAGGACAACGGUGGUCCGUGCACGCUCGUGUGGCGUCCGGCAUGAGCUGAGCCCCUGUCACCUGGAUCUCUCAGAUUUCCGCAGGUUCGAGUUCGGAACUCGUGCACGCGAUGACGUUGAAUCGCCAAGGGAAUCGCUUCUUAGUACAAAAGUAUUAGUGAUUGGUGAAAUGUUCCAUCAGAGGACUUUGCAUCUUUGCACGGGAGAAAAACGAUUAUGCUAAAGCAACCAAAGAUGCAACCAAAGAUGCAACCAGAUAUAGAUAGAGAUCUAAAAAUAAUUGAUGGACUAAUAAAAUAAUUAUGGAGGACGCUCAAAUUUUAUAAUUGCCACACAAUUUUUUUGUAGCACUGCUCAUUAUCCUUAAGCGUUCUCAAAAUCACUCUCUUUCCGUAUGACAACAAAGAUCCACGUGAUGCUACAAAUGCUUCGUAAGUGGUACUUAUUGACCCUCGGAACAAAUAAUUUUAUGACCAAUCAAAGAAUGCUUUGCAGCGUCUAGUUCUUAGUCAGUCAAUUGCGAUAAUGUACUUUGCCGAGGAUUUAUAUUCGCUUCUUUAUUAGUUUAUCGCCUUUAUACGAGUUAUUUAAAUCGACGAAGAAAUUAAUUGCAUUCAAAAUUUAAUUACCUCUUUAACAAAAAUGAGAAACGAUUCAUACUUUAUUUUCAAUUAUAUAUUCCUUAUAUAAAAUCAAUAACGAACGGACAGAAUAAAA